rnacentral:rRNA from 1 species
AGAGUUGAUCAUGGCUCAGGACGAACGCUGGCGGCGUGGAUUAGGCAUGCAAGUCGAACGGUAUAAACCUUUCGGGGUUUAGAGAGUGGCGAACGGGUGAGUAACACGUAGGUAAUCUACCCUCAAAACGGGGACAACCCAGGGAAACUUGGGCUAAUACCGGAUGCGUGCAAGCAAUGUUUUGGCUGUUAAUGCUAUUCACGGAAGUGAGUAGUGUUAAUGGUUGAGAGCAUUAUUUGCAUAAAAGGUGGCAUAUGCUGCCGUUUGAGGAUGAGCCUGCGUCCUAUUAGUUAGUUGGUGAGGUAAUGGCUUACCAAGGCGAUGAUAGGUAGGCGGCCUUAACGGGUGGUCGCCCACACUGGGAUUGAGAGACGGCCCAGACUCCUACGGGAGGCAGCAGUCGAGAAUAGUCUACAAUGGACGGAAGUCUGAUAGUGCGACGCCGCGUGAACGAAGAAUCCCUUCGGGGUGUAAAGUUCUUUUAUACGUGAGCAGUGCCCUUUAUAUGAAUAGUAUAGAGGGAGGGAUUUAAGCGUAUGAAUAAGCAACGGCUAACUCCGUGCCAGCAGCCGCGGUAACACGGGGGUUGCAAGCGUUGUCCGGAAUUACUAGGCGUAAAGUGCAGGUAGGCGGAUAGAUAAGUUUAAGGUUAAAGGCUACGGCUUACCCGUAGUAAGGCGUUAGAUACUGUUUAUCUGGAAUGCGGUUGAGGGAGACAGAAUUCCUGGUGUAGCGGUGGAAUGCGCAGAGAUCAGGAGGAAUACCGAAGGCGAAGGCAGUCUUCUAAGCCGAUAUUGACGCUAAACUGCGAAGGUGUGGGGAUCAAACAGGAUUAGAUACCCUGGUAGUCCACACAGUAAACGAUAAUCACUAGGUGUUGGGUUCGUAUAGGACUCGGUGCCGGAGCUAACGCGAUAAGUGAUUCGCCUGGGGAGUACGAUCGCAAGGUUGAAACUCAAAUGAAUUGACGG